rnacentral:rRNA from 1 species
AGCGAACGCUGGCGGCAGGCCUAACACAUGCAAGUCGAACGAACGUAUCGGGGUUAGUGGCGGACGGGGGAGGCACACGGGGGAACGUGCAGUUAGGUACGGGAUAACACAGGGAAACUUGGGAUAAAGCAGAAUGAGCUAUGCGGGGGCAAGAUUCAGCGUAUUUAGAUAGGCCGGUGUUUGACUAGCCAGGUGGGUGAGGUAAUGGCGCAUCAGGGCGACGUUCAGCAGCUGGUCUGAGAGGAUGAUCCGCCACAUUUGGACUGAGACACGGACCAAACUCCUACGCGAUGCAGCAGUGCGUAAUCUUGCGCAACCGGCUAAAUCCUGACGCAGCCAGGCCUCGUGAACGAUGUUGUUCUUAGGAUUGUAAAAUUCUUUCACCCGGGACUAUAAUGACGGUACCCGGAGAAUAAGCCCCGGCUAACUUCGUG